GCCAAAGUCCUGAAGAUCUCAGGGCUUGAAGGAGGGGGCAUCUUUUUUCUCCAUUGUAGUAGUGUGUCUUGCUAAAUAACAGAAGGGACUCCUGAAAAGAAAAUGACGUUGGCCGGGCGCGGUGGCUCACGCCUGCAGUCCCAGCACUUUGGGAGGCCGAGACGGGCGGAUCACGAGGUCAGGAGAUCGAGACUAUCCUGGUUUACGCGGUGACACCCUGUGUCUACUAAAAAUACAAAAAAAAAAAAAAAAAAAAAAAUUGCCGGGCGUGGUGGCACGCGCCUGUAGUUCCAGGUGCUCGGGAGGCUGAGGCAGGAGAAUCGCUUGAACCCGGGAGGCGGAGCUUGCAGUGAGCCGAGACCGCGCCACUGCACUCCAGCUUGGGUGACAGAGUGAGACUCAGUCUCAGAAAAAGAAGAAGAAGAAAAAGAUACACACUCGAGCACACAUUUUCUCAGCAAAGCAAUUUACUUCUAUAGAAGGGCUGGAGCGCAUUGGUGCGGUCUCGGGCUCAC
rnacentral:lncRNA from 1 species